UACAGAGGCCCCAAGCGUUACUGAGAAUCACUGGGUUUAAAGGGUGCGUAGGUGGUCCGUUAAGUUCGUUGUGAAAGCCCUGGGCUCAACCCAGGAACUGCUUCGAAUACUGGCGGACUUGAGGCUAGUAUGGGUCACUGGAACUGACGGUGGAGCGGUGAAAUGCGCAGAUAUCAGGAGGAACACCGGUGGCGAAGGCGGGUCUCUGGGCAACAACUGACGCUGAGGAGCGAAAGCGUGGGGAGCGAACAGG
rnacentral:rRNA from 1 species